UCCAGGAAAGAGCCUCGUUGAGAUUAUCUGCUUUCUCAAGGGAUACCUGGCCAAGAAAGCUACAAUUAAUGUACAACUAAGCCAGUCAUUAAUGCAUAGUUCACUAUCUCUCUUUCUCUCUUGCUCCCAUUCUCUUUCCUUCUCUUUUGCUUUCUCUCUUACUCUUGCUUUCUGUCUCUUCUCUCUCUCUCUCUCUCUCUCUCUCUCUCACAGGUAUUUUAGGCCUGUCAUCGCCAUUGAUCUACCCCACCCUCCCUGUUACACGCCUGGGAUUUGGGGAGUGAAGCUAAGCCCCGAGGGAGGAACUGAGGGGGUGCCUAUCUCCCCCUCCCCCCCCCCCCUCCCCCAAGGAGCCACUGCUGCCGUUGCUCCCAUGGGGCCGCCUGCACACAUUCCAGGGUUAAUUGUGACAUCAUUAACUGUGACAUCAUUAGCCGGACGCUGUGGCUAAUGGUCCCGGAGAGAAUGCGCUCCACAGGACUCAGCCGUCAGCGCUUCGCGUUCGCGCGGCUCCGCGGUGAGCAGGCCGACGCGCGCGUGUCCGAUCUGCAGAGAGAUCUGAUUCGCCGCUGACCGGAGAGAGCGUGUCCAGUUGAACCAGUAGCACGGCGGGGUUCCUGAGGAUCGAUCGCGCCCGGAGCGCCAGCCCGGAGCGCCAGCGGGCAAGCGGCUCGUUUCUGUGGCCUGAGCGCUGAUGUGAGCGGCUCACUUGUACGCGAGAGAGGAACAGCCUUCAUACCACUCUGUGGCAGAAAGGUACAGCAGGGCCAGUCUCAACGCUGCUGCCGCCUCUGUCUCCCAUACAAAACAGAAAGGCUUUGUUGCCAUAGUUAUGCACUGUAUUCCUUUUU